GUUUCUAUCAUAAAUUUGUUUUUUACAGAGUAAAUUUAAUUAAUAAAAUCCAAUCUAAUGACCACGCCGUUCAUUUUUUCUUCAUAUUAAGGGAGAAAAAGGCGUUGAUAAAACACAACUAAAGCAACUCUUUCUGGAUCAAUUGCCUAAUCUAUAAGCCCUACCAAGAAUACUGACGUUUAAUGACCAAGAAACAAAAUUUUCAAUAUGAUUUGAUCCCAAAUCACUCGUAUCUAAUAAACCUCUGAUAAUAAGUAGAAAGCCAAUAAUUAUGUGAAAUGUGGAUUAUUACAAAAUUCAACAAACUAAGGCGUGCCCAAAGCACCAGAAAUGGGAUAGUAAUUUCAUCGAACAAAACAAGAAGACAACAUAUGAUUCAAAACAGUGAACAGAACCUGAAGCAUGUAAAGCAAGAUCUCAUGAAAUAAGCUCAAGAAUCAACAAACAAAAGAACAAAACAAUCUCGAAAAAUAAAACAGGUAUAUCCUAUAUACACGAAUCAAUUAUUAAUGACUGAAAGAACAUCGAAAUCCAGAAACAGAAUGAAUCAAGAAUCCAAAAGAUAAAAGAGUAAUGGAAUUAAAAGGAAGGAAGAGAAAACAAAGAAGGAGCACCUGUAUUGUGAUUGGGU
rnacentral:misc_RNA from 1 species